ACCUGGCCGGUCCAUCAAGCUCCUCCGACCGGCCCAAUCCCCACGUCACGACUCUUCCCAACCACCCCACCUCCCGCACCACCUCUGCCCCAUCCUCCCGGGCACCUCCUGCCGCCGGCCCCGGCGUGCCACCCGCCGCCGACCAACCCCCUCCCCGGCCCGACGCGGCCUCCCAAACCACCCGCCGCCGCCCGCGCCCUCCCCAGAUCCCCCGCCUAGCCGGUUCCCGCUGCGGCCGCCGCAAUCCUCCACGGAUCCCGGCGGCGCCCUCCCUUCGGCGUGCUCCUUGAUCCCGUCGUCACGCCCUGGAUCCGGCUGCCCCGGACCCCGCCAGAUCUGGUAGAAGUUCCCGACUACUCUCGGCUGCUGCCAGGGAAGAACCUCGCCAUCACGCCACUUCGUCCUUCUGACGCUGCAGCGCGCAAGCCGUUCACCUUCGUCGCCCAUGUCCGUCCAAUGACUGGUCACCAUGCACGCCUACCUGACCUUCAUGGGGUACCAGUGGCGCCCUUCAUCGCGUUCGUCUGACCACAAACAGGGGAGAAAGAGCUGUACGCGAGCGCUACGAUCGAGCUGCACCUUAGCUCGGAGUCGGGCAACGGCGAGCUGCACCUCAGCUACGGCCACACCCAUGGCACGGGCGAACGCGAUGAAGUUAAACAUUGAGGUGCUCAGCAGGCAGAGGGGACAGAUAAAAUGCUGGGAGGAUUGGGGCAGGACCGCAGGAGGUAGCAGCAAGCCUUAAGGAGUUGGAGGCACAUUACUACUCAUCAAUUGUCCGUACUCUGCUCUAUGAUUGAGGUGCUUUUCCACCCAUCUGAAAUUUCUCCGGCAACACUCGCCAACAGCUUGUUUCCCCAAUGUUGUGGAUCGACAAGGAUACAACGUGCUUCUCCUGCUCGCUUGGGUCAAUGGGUGAUUCGGCUGCUGAAGUUGACUAGUAAUUAUCUACUUAAAUUUUCAAGGAUAAGCUCGCUUCUACAUUUUCAUAUAUACCAGCUUCUGUUAUUUACAUAUCAGAUGCUCUAACUAAAUCAUCUUGUGUGUUCAGAGACUGCAAAUUCUGCUAUGUACCUUCAGCAGAAUUAGGUGAUGAAAAUGUUGCUCCUCCUAUGGAUCGCUGAUUCCACACUUUUGUCUGCAUUUAUGAAUAAUGCAUAUCCAGUACCAUGCUCUAAUGAUUUUUGAUCAAUUAUACUGCCUAUAUUACAGCAGAAUUAAUGAAGUUCAACUUUGAGAAAGCAAUAAGUCCAGCUGUAUAUGGAAAAACACUAAAAAGACAACGACCAAAAUUUUUUGUUAGUGAAGUUCAAUUUGGAAAUACAUGAUAGAAAAGGUAUUCUUUAUUUUUUACAAUAAAAAAGUAUUAUGCAUUGUUGGUUUCACCAACUAGUCACUCUCUCACAAUCAUUCUGUUACUGCUUCCCUUCUACUUCAUGAAAUUGUAUACAAAAAGAACAAGGAAUUUCAAAAUUAAAAGCAAAAAAGCAAGCAUUUCUUAAAGACAAAGAAAGUGUGUGCGAAGUUCAUAUUUUCUGUCGUGGAUGGUCCAAAAUGUUAGCUAAUGGAAAGGCACACCCUGGGUUUCCAAAAAAUAAAGAGGCGAACACACACACACACACACACAAAUAUGUUGAUAGAGUGAACUGUGACUAAAAAGGCAUGUUUUGCAAACAAAUUUCUUCGACAAUUUAUGUGAUUCAGUGGCCUUGUGACUAAAAAGGCUCCCGUCGUUUUGCUAGCACACAAGAUGCUUGUGAUAAUGCCUAUGACAGUACAUCUCCUACAGGCACCAUCAAACCCAGCUUCAGCAGUUGAAAAAAUAGAUGAAUUUAAAAACGAAAAAAGACGCAGAAGUAGAGAGGCAAGAAUUUGGCAGAAGUAGAGGCAAAAAAAUAGAUGAAUUUAAAAAUGAAAAAAGACGCAGAAGUAGUCGUUCAAAAAUGGUUGUUUGAGAAGUUUGAAAUAUAUAGAAUCUGAAAAGUUGCAACAAACAAAGUAGAAGUUCAAAAAAAAAAACGAGCGGUUCGAUGUUUAUUAUAAAAUUCCAUGGGUUUAUCGUUCCUAAAGAAUAAAACCAGGAAGUUCAAAUUAGAAAAUUAGAGCAGUUCAAAAUAAUUAUAAAAAAGCUAUUUUCCUCACUUCUAAAAAAACCUAGAAGUUUGAACUUAAAUAACAACAGCGGUUCGACGUUUACAAAAAACUAGGAUUUUCCUGUUACUAAAGAAAAAAAAUUGUGUGGAUGUGUUGUGCAUGUGCUUAUGCAUAGUACACUGAAUAGAACAAAAAAACUAUUAUGGGUGCCCUCUAAAUGUUUGUCCUAUUGCUUAUGAGAAUUGACCCAAAUUUUCCUAUUGUUUUUGGCCAUGUUGGAUUCAAGGGAAAAUGUGUAUAAAAAGGUGUGAUUUCGAAAGUUCAGUUGUAACGAACAUCGAAGUUCGAACCAAAAAAAUGUAAACAAAAAAAUCAUGGAAUUCAAAGAAUAAAAACUAUGGAGUUUCAUGAAAAAAAA